GUUGAAGUAUUUAGCAAAGACUCAGAAUAAGUAAGAAUAGAAAAUUCGAUUUAAGUUUUAAAUUAGUUUAAGUUAGUCCAUAUUUUUACUUUUUAUUGACUCCUUUUAAAAGAGGUAAGAUCCGGUGAAUCGGAAACAAUUAAUUAAGAAUUCAAAACUUUUUUAUGGAACAGACAUAUGAAUAUGCGUGGAUCAUACCUUUCAAAGGUAAGAUCCUGUGAAUCGGAAACAAUUAAUUAAGAAUUCAAAACUUUUUUAUGGAACAGAAAUAUGAAUAUGCAUGGAUCAUACCUUUAAUUCAACUUCCAGUCCCUAUGUUAAUAGGAGCGGGACAUAUUCUUUUUCCAACAGCAACAAAAAUUUUUCGCCGUAUGUGGGCUUUUCAGAGUGUUUUAUUGUUAAGCAUAGUCAUGGUUUUUUCAAU
rnacentral:lncRNA from 1 species